AAAGUGCUGGGAUUACAGAUGUGAGCUGCUGCGCCUGGCCCCUUCAGGUGGGUUUUGAGGCUUCACUACAAUACUGGUUCCCCAUUGCUGCUGCAACAAAUUACCACACACUUAGUGGCUUAAAACAGCACGGAGGUAUUCCCUUACAGUUCUGAAGGCCAGAAUUCUAAAGUCAGUCCCACGGAGUCAAGAUGGGAGCAGGGUCAGUGCCUUCCCAGGCUCUGCGGGAGAUUCCAUUUCCUGGCCCCGGAGGCGGCCUGCUCUCCUCAGCUUGUGCUGCCCUUCUCCAGUGACGCGAGUUUCCUGCUUUCAUCGCUACACCUCCCUCCGCUCUCCAUCACCUGCUCUGCUCUUAUGAGGAUCCAGCUCAAGCUCUUGGACUCACUGAGGCAGUAAAAGUACCAUAUCCUGUUUGAAUCAAACCCCGAGUUCCUGUAUGUAGAAGCCUUGCCAGACAGGAUCCCCUUUCGAAACCCUUCUCGUUUGGAAUUCCAUGACUGGAAAGGAUCCUUCGUGAGAGUAAUAAAAUCAAGUUUGUUGUUAAAAACUUUGCAGUCCCCAAAAAGACCAUGAAGUCCUGAGAGUAAUGAAAAGCUUCCUGACAUUGAGGUCACUGUGGAAGGUAAGGGCCAGUUCUUGGCAUGUUUCUGUUGAUUCUCCAGUUUAAUAGUUAUGUCAAUUCACUAGCUAUGUGUUCAUACAGAUUAUAGUAACCAAACUCAUUGUACAUGUGAACAACUAACUUUGAUAAAGCUAAACUUCUGAAUGUUUUUAAUUGAAAUUUUGAAAAUCAUUAACAGAUAAUAAAUAACAUGGAUCACAUUACAAACUGCACUCAAGAAAAUCCCUAAAAUGCUUUUCCUCUAUUACAACAAAUAAGGGUGCAGAGGGUCAUGUGGAAUGUUUCUUCGUCUUUUGUCUUCUUUGUUUUUUCUAUUCUUUUGAGGAAAGAAAGUUGAGGGGUGGUUUAAAAAGCAGUGCCUAGAAUGAAAGUAUUUCCUACAGCACCCUCUAGUGUACUUCCUUCUCUCCAUUCCCAUGGGGUCUGCAGGGUUCUCAUCUUUUCAUGUUCACAGUAUUAAAAUACCUCAUACAAUAUCAAAACAGUUUCCAACCAACCCUCAAAUAUGGGUAUUUCUUCCAUCUCAUAAAUGCCAAAGGAAAUAGCUGCGUUAGGGUCAUUCUUUUUUUUUUUUUGGAGAUGGAAGUCUCGCUCUGUCACCCAGGCUGGAGUGCAGUGGCAUGAUCUCAACUCACUGCAGCCUCUGCCUCCUGGGUUCAAGCAAUUC